rnacentral:rRNA from 1 species
GGGCCCGCACAAGCGGUGGAGCAUGUGGUUUAAUUCGAUGAUACGCGAGGAACCUUACCAGGGCUUAAAUGCAGAACGACCGGCGUGGAAACAUGCCUUUCUUCGGACGGACUGCAAGGUGCUGCAUGGUCGUCGUCAGCUCGUGCCGUGAGGUGUCGGGUUAAGUCCCAUAACGAGCGCAACCCCUAUCUUUAGUUGCCAGCGGAUAAUGCCGGGGACUCUAGAGAAACUGCCAGCGUAAGCUGUGAGGAAGGUGGGGAUGACGUCAGAUCAUCACGGCCCUUACGUCCUGGGCUACACACGUGCUACAAUGGCAAGGACAAUGAGCUGCCAACCCGCGAGGGUGAGCAAAUCUUCAAACCUUGUCUCAGUUCGGAUCGGAGUCUGCAACUCGACUCCGUGAAGUUGGAAUCGCUAGUAA